CAGGGUUCUGACACAGGAACGACAGCACAUGUAAAGACUGAUGAUGCUGAGCAUCAGGAUGGAGUCU
rnacentral:ribozyme from 12 species